AAUGUAGCAAAAGGGGAACAAAGGGUCAAAUCACGUUAAAAUGUUGAGCUACGAGUAGAAAGGCACGCAGGCCACUAGACGUGUCCAGACUUGCCUGAGGCUAAGAGGAAGAGGGAAGUUAGACCAUACCAAAUAAGGAAGAAGGAUGCAUACACAGAGCACUGUGAUGAGCGCAGGAAAAGGUGACGGCAGACAAUCUGAAGAGGAUAAAAGGAACAGCUCCGGGAGGAUCGGGGUUAGUCCCCAGGGCUGGCUCUCGGGUUCAAGACUUGCUGAUCGAUCGACCGCAUCGGAGCAACUCAUCUUCAAACUUAGAAUUUCAACUCAAGAGAUAGAGCAACAAACAAGCCAUCAUUGCAGAAAGAGAAGUCCAACAACCUACAGCCAAGACGGGAGUGGCAGGCAGAGGAGGAUUAACCAUCUCCGCCAGGUUGCAGGUUCCAAUUGAUCACCAAGGAUCACUCUUUCGUUCACCCUGCCAUCAGAGACUGCACUGGUCAGAGACUUUGCGGACUUUAGACACAGUCGGGAGUUUCUACAGCAACCAACAGUACGGCAGGCGCAAAGGAGGACUGUACCGGCCAUACACCCGUACAACCCUUCCCUCUCUCUCUUCAAGCUGGACAUUCAACCCUUCAGCUUCAAGCCUUUCCAUCAGGGCUGAACCUACCUGUGUUACGGAAGACUGUGGAACGGAUGGUGCAGUUCUCAAACACUGUGUCUGUGGACUUGAUGUCCUCAAAGCGACAAUUUUCGAACAGCCCAGUGGAUUCCUGUUAAUGCCAUUAGGAGAACUAGGAGGAGCCAGAGGAACCAGAUUUUUUCACAAAUGAUCUGUCUCAUGUACUACUGUCAGGAUAUAAUUAAAGUUUAAGCAAAUAUGAUGAAAAAUGAUUCCCUACUUUAACUCAAAAGACCAAAAGACAAGAUACACUAGAAAAUGCAGUAGCUUCACUACAUUUGUAAUAAAUAUAAAAUAAAGCCAGGGAAGUGGUCAUAUAACAUGAUUGGUUUUGGGUAAGUAAUUUACUGAAAAAAGAUCUUUAUCUAAUACUCAAUGCAAAAAUUGUCAUUUUAUGAAAACAACUAACAGUUUUUUACAUGAGAAGAAAUAAGAUAUUUUCAUAGAUAUGCUGAAGAGUUUGUUACUUUGAAGGCUUAUAAAGAGAGGAUGAAACUAAAGUUUUUCAUAAUUCCUCAUAUAUUAUUAUGGCAAUGUGAACUGGACUUUUUAAUUUGUCAAAUGUUUCAUUUGUGAUUUUUCUCAACAUUUCUGAGUGAAACUAAGGAAAAUUAAAAUACAGUAUAGGUACCUCAAACCUGAACAUAAAUAGUUUUCUGUUCAGACGGUGACAUAGUCACACUUACU